rnacentral:rRNA from 1 species
AACGAACGCUGGCGGCAGGCUUAACACAUGCAAGUCGAACGCUCACUUCGGUGAGAGUGGCAGACGGGUGAGUAACGCGUGGGAAUAUACCUAUCAGUACGGAACAACAGUUGGAAACGACUGCUAAUACCGUAUACGCCCUCCGGGGGAAAGAUUCAUCGCUGAUAGAUUAGCCCGCGUUAGAUUAGCUAGAUGGUGAGGUAAUGGCUUACCAUGGCGACGAUCUAUAGCUGGUCUGAGAGGAUGAUCAGCCACACUGGGACUGAGACACGGCCCAGACUCCUACGGGAGGCAGCAGUGGGGAAUAUUGGACAAUGGGCGCAAGCCUGAUCCAGCCAUGCCGCGUGUGUGAUGAAGGCCUUAGGGUUGUAAAGCACUUUCAACGGUGAAGAUAAUGACGGUAACCGUAGAAGAAGCCCCGGCUAACUUCG